GACGAACGCUGGCGGCGUGCUUAACACAUGCAAGUCGAACGGAAAGGCCCUGCUUUUGUGGGGUGCUCGAGUUGCGAACGGGUGAGUAACACGUGAGUAACCUGCCCUUGACUUUGGGAUAACUUCAGGAAACUUGGGCUAAUACCGGAUAGGAUCUCCUGCUGCAUGGUGGGGGUUGGAAAGUUUCGGCGGUUGGGGAUGGACUCGCGGCUUAUCAGCUUGUUGGUUGGGUAGUGGCUUACCAAGGCUUUGACGGGUAGCCGGCCUGAGAGGGUGACCGGCCACAUUGGGACUGAGAUACGGCACAGACCCCUACGGGAGGCAGCAGUGCGGAAUAUUGCACAAUGGGAGGAAGCAUGAUGCAGCCAAGCCGCGUGCGGGAUGACGGCCUUCGGGUUGUAAACCACUUUCGCCUGUGACGAAGCGUGAGUGACGGUAAUGGGUAAAGAAGCACCGGCUAACUACGUG
rnacentral:rRNA from 1 species